CAGGCGGUCUUUUAAGUCUGAUGUGAAAGCCCACGGCUUAACCGUGGAGGGUCAUUGGAAACUGGAGGACUUGAGUGCAGAAGAGGAGAGUGGAAUUCCACGUGUAGCGGUGAAAUGCGUAGAGAUGUGGAGGAACACCAGUGGCGAAGGCGACUCUCUGGUCUGUAACUGACGCUGAGGAGCGAAAGCGUGGGGAGCGAACAGGAUUAGAUACCCUGGUAGUCCACGCCGUAAACGAUGAGUGCUAGGUGUUAGGGGGUUUCCGCCCCUUAGUGCUGAAGUUAACGCAUUAAGCACUCCGCCCGGGGAGUACGGCCGCAAGGCUGAAACUCAAAAGAAUUGACGGGGGCCCGCACAAGCGGUGGAGCAUGUGGUUUAAUUCGAAGCAACGCGAAGAACCUUACCAGGUCUUGACAUCCUCUGACAGCUCUAGAGAUAGAGCGUUCCCUUCGGGGACAGAGUGACAGGUGGUGCAUGGUUGUCGUCAGCUCGUGUCGUGAGAUGUUGGGUUAAGUCCCGCAACGAGCGCAACCCUUGAUCUUAGUUGCCAGCAUUAAGUUGGGCACUCUAAGGUGANUGACCGGUGACAAAUCCGGAGGAAUGGUGGGGAUGACGUCAAAUCAUCAUGCCCCUUAUGACCUGGGCUACACACGUGCUACAAUGGAUGGAACAGAGGGCAGCGAAGCCGCGAGGUGUAGCAAAUCCCAUAAAACCAUUCUCAGUUCGGACUGCAGGCUGCAACUCGCCUGCAUGAAGCC
rnacentral:rRNA from 1 species